GGUUGGAGUAACCCUAUACAGGCAAGUAUUUACUGGCUAACACUGAAUUGUCCUACCGAAAAGUAAAUUGUACAUUUUAGGUCAAAGAAACCUGCUGUUUUUCCAACUUGCCUAAUUUACCCAAAUUUUACAAUUCAAUUAAUUCUGUUCAAGGCCGAUUUAAAAAAAACCAAAAAAAACAAUCAUGCCCAAGAAUGAACUUGGUAAGCCCAGAUACUAAAUGCUAAAUGUACAUGGAUAUAUAUUUUGGAAUGGCUAUAAGUAAUACAUACCUAUAAAAUGCUUCAUAAUAAAACGAUCAAAUAGUAUUGCUUAGCAGCUGAUACUGUUUGUUAUUAAUAAGCCUCUAUAACAUGUUAUAUAAUGGUGUGACUUACUCUGCACUGUAGCUGAUCAUGAGUUGCAUGAUUCAAUACUAGCCUUUAGGUGAGAAAUAUUAUUCACAAACAUUUGCAAGUGUAUAGUGUUCAGGUUAUCAGCAGUAUAGGGUUAGGAGGGACUUAAAGAGACACUAUUGUCACCCAGACCACUUCAGCUCAAUGAAGUGGUCUGGGUGCCAGGUCCCUCAGGUUUUAACCCUUCAGAUGCAAACAUAGCAGUUUCAGAGAAACUGCUAUGUUUACAUUUGGGGUUAAGCCAGCCUCUAGUGGCUGUCUUCCGGACAGCCACUAGAGGCGCAUCUGUGAUGCUGGAGGCAUAUUAUGCCUCCAUCGCACAGAGCGUCCAUAGGAAAGCAUUGAGAGCUGGCGGGGGAGGAGAGGUCACCAGCGCCGAGGGAGCCCGGUGCUGGACUAAGGUAAGUGGCUGGGGGCACCCUCAGGGCACUAUAGUGUCAGGAAAACCGCUUUGUUUUCCUUACACUAUAGUGAUCCUUUAAGGUAAAAAGGAAAAUAGGAUUAAUGUGUGCCUGUUUUCAAGAUGUUAUGAACUGUAAAAUAUAGAAUUCCUUACCAAGAGUGGUUCCUACUUAACUGGGUACUAUACUGUAUAUUCAGUCAUUGCAGCAGUAUGUACAGCAAUGUACUUCUCACUGUAGUGAGGUUCCUCAUUAAAAAAGGUGCUACAGUUUCAUCACAUUAUAGAGAGGUAAUAGUAAUGGUUAAUGUCUUGAUGCCAAAGUGAAACAAAGUAAGCUAUUGAGACAUUAACACAUGUA